UGCGGGUUCGUCUAAUGGUAGGACACGUCCCUCUGGAGGAUGGUAUUGGGGUUCAAGUCCCUGACCCGCAGCCG
rnacentral:tRNA from 1 species